rnacentral:sRNA from 1 species
GCAUUGUUCAGCUCAUUCUCAUCUUUAUCGAAAUCCUUUGUAAAACAUUAAAUUCUUAUUUUCUUUGUAAGCUAGAUCCUCUCAUCUUGAGAGCUAGCGAGUUGUCAUUUGGGCGUUUCCUGAACGUUGAUUUGGCCGGUUUUGUGGAGUUAAUUAAUCAAAGGAUUUUGAGCCAUUCAAACAGAGAAUCCAUAGUUUCUCUGUAUUAAAGGUAUCAGAGCCAUUCGUUUCCUCGGAGAAGAUGGUGGUGACAAGGUCAAGUCAGGAGGAGGAUGUGAAAGGGAAAGGGGUUGAGAAGGAGGAUCUUAUCGCUACUCGUAUGACAAAGCUUGAAGAGAUGGUGGCUGAGCAGCAUAAAUCGAUGCUGAAGCACAUGGCUGACAUGAUGAGUGCGAUGAGUAGAACGACGGCGAAGAGGGUGACGGAAGGUGAGAAGGUGUUGGAUCGGAGUGUACCACGUUCGUCAACUUCUUCGAUGGCCAGAUCUGGGUUUGUUGAACAUCAACGGGACUUUCAACGGGAUUUUCGACCUGAGAUGGUAAGACAGGAGGUGAAUAAUCAAUAUGGUAAUCUUACUAGGUUGGGGAAGAUUGAUUUUCCUAGAUUUGAUGGAAGUAGAAUCAAUGAGUGGUUGUUUAAGGUGGAAGAAUUUUUUGGUGUGGAUUUUACCCCGGAAGAGAUGAAGGUUAAGAUGGUUGCAAUACACUUUGAUAGUCAUG